rnacentral:tmRNA from 1 species
UGGUGAGAUGGAGGACAGUGAGAGCUCUGGAAGCCAUGUGUGCAACAUCUGCAGCGUUGGCUCGCGAGGGAGCUGCUUGGUAAGUGUGAUGUGAGAGGCAGCAGACUCUUCCGCCAUCUGAGUCACGAGGUGCAGAAACUGUUUGUUUGUUACCUCCCCCAUACAAAAGAGGCCGUGGCUGGCGGGAUAAAUAGUCUGAACCCAGCCCACCUCAGCAUCUGCCAGGUGCUCCACGUUGAUGGGUACAGGUUUGAAGGAGGGCACGGCCUGCAGGAGCCUGUCAUGAUCUAGCACCAGUUCCUUUUCAAGGGUUGGAUAUUUCUUUAUGUCCACAUAUCCUCCCACGUAUAUAGGUGCAUCAGCCAUGUUGGGGCGAUAUGUGAUAGUUGGAAAGCCAAUGUCUCCUGGCCUGCAGGCGCUACUGUCUAAAAUUUUAUUUAAGGAUAAAUUAAAUACGCUAUCCUCGACAGAAUUGAGGUUGUUACAUGCUAUCCUCUGUCACCUGUAUAAUUUUACCACCAAUUGUUACCUGUUCAAGUAUGCUCUCUAUAACACUGGUACAUAUGACAAUGGUGUCCUGGGCAGAAAAGUGCCCAUACAGUUUUGGACUCUGCUCUAUGAGGUGUGCCUAGAGAGUGGCCUGACAACGAAGGACCUCACUGACGAGACCGUGGCGGCCAGCCUCUGGUAUCGCCUGAACACGGCCGAUGAUGGAACGCUGUGUGGGUUCUGUGAAAAGAUUUUUAAAAAGCUGGGUCUGACCCAUCAUGUGGCGCUCGACCUAGUGAAUCUGAGAGAUGGUAACCUGCUGUUCAACCUGGGAAGCACCAUCCCUUGCAGGCUCCUGAUGUGCCUGCUCUUUUGUCUGAAAAAUUGGGGAGCGCAAGGCCUGGAGCCUUGGGUCAGGCACUACGUGGGAAAGUUCUUCCUCUUGUACUUGAUUCUGGCUGGUUAUCUUCUCCCCAGGAAAGAGUGUGUGGAAUUUGCCGCCACCCAGUCAUACGCUGGGCUAAUGGAAACCAUCUGUGCUGACAUCUUGACUUUCCAGGGGUCCCAGGCCCUUUCCCUCCCACCAGAUAAUUAUCUGCAGGAACUUGAUCAGUUGUUUACUUUUAACAACAGCUUUAUUUCUUACACCACGGCCACUGUAACAGGAAGUGCCCCCAACACACAAAAAUAAACAUAAUCAUAAACA